rnacentral:rRNA from 1 species
UACGAAGGGGGCUAGCGUUGUUCGGAAUUACUGGGCGUAAAGCGCACGUAGGCGGAUUAGUAAGUCAGAGGUGAAAGCCCGGGGCUCAACCCCGGAACUGCAUUUGAAAAUAUGGGACUCGAGUCUGGAAGAGGUAAGUGGAAUUCCUGGUGUAGAGGUGAAAUUCGUAGAUAUUAGGAAGAACACCAGUGGCGAAGGCGGCUUACUGGACCAAUACUGACGCUGAGGCGCGAAGGCGUGGGGAGCAAACAGG